ensembl:lncRNA
AUGGUGCUCCAACUGUCCUAUCCUCCCAACUUCUUGCCCAAAGACCCAACCCCCAAGUCUGUCACCCUCAAUUCACCUUCACACACAUGCAGACAAGAGGUGGUGGUACCAUCGCACGGGCCAGCAUCAUUCCCGAGAUUCUGAGACAUCAGAGGCCGAGGGUGGAGCACCGCUCACUGCGCCAGCCUUUCUGGGUCCACAUCCAUGCAGAGGCCACUCAGGGAUGCUCUGCAGGACCUCUGGGACAACCUUGGGCCCAAGCCUGCCCAUGCAGUGUGGCCUGGAACAGCUGCCACCCACACACAAGGCUCCCCACCGUGCUCUCUUGGCUUGGUCAGCAGCUCAUCUCCUGAGGGCCCUGCCCAGCCCUCUCUCCGCUCUGGACAUUGUCCUUCCCCCACGGCUCGCUCAGGCACUCCCUGAGGGUGCACAAGCUGGCGCAGGAAUGCACUAGGCAGGACACCUUCAGUUGCAGGCGGCAGAACAACCAAAACAAAAGAGAGGCCUUCACAGGCUCACGUGACUGAGAAAUGCAGGGGGAGAGCUGAGUGUAGGCCUGCUGAGUCUGGGGACUCAAACACACCUUCAGAGCACUCCUCACCUCUGUCCCUCAUGCUCUCUGCUUGCCUCUGCUGGAUGGCCUUCGUGCCCCUGAGGCGGGCAAUCUCAGCACAGCAGCCCCAGGUCACAGCCUUGUCACCAUCUAACCAGAAAUAAAUAAAUAAAUACAUAGACAUAUAUAUACACCAUAUAUAAUCACCUUUGUACCUAAUUAUUACCUAUAAUUUCUCACAAAAAUCUUCAAUUCAAAGGUAGGGAUUUUUGUCUGUCUAGUCCACUGCUAUAUUCCCAGGGCCUGUCACAGCACAUAGCAGGUGCUCAAUAAAUAUUUGUUGAAUUAAUGAACUGGUUCUUCAAGCUCUCCUCCCAAUCACCCUAGAGAGACCAAACUAAGCCACUCCAUAGCCCUGGUAAGAUUUCUUUCUCACCCACCCCCACUCUCCCCCAAACCCUAGACCAAAGGCUGGAGCCAGACCCUCCUGAAUGAGGAGCAUGACUGCAGGUGACCCUUGAAGGCGCUAUGGGUGCGGGCUCUCGGGCCUGAGGUGCAGCCUGGGGAGGGGCACAGCUGAGGCCUGGCCUCGAGCGCGCUCCCAGCCUCAGCCCUUCCCGGGGGCUGCUCUGCCUGGUGGACAGGAUCACAGGACGGCACGGAGAGCAGGAACCACGCCCCUCCUCAACCCCUGCUCAGAAGGGGAAGCGGAGGUAAAAGGCUGCCUGGGAAAUGUCACCGGCUAAUGAAUGCUGCUUCGCUGCCAUAGCUGAGGCGUCAGUCAGACGCGUGCGGAGAGAAUGAUAGCCAUCCUCAUUAGGAAUUCAGGAUGACUGCUUCUGCUCUUCUGAACCCAAGGGGCCUUGGCUGAGCCCCCUCCCUCCCACCCCAUCCUGUUGUUCUGCUGUUAACAGAAAUAAUAAAUAUAAAUAUAAGAGAAAUAACAAAUAACACCAAGCUCCCAAGGUUACGGUGAGAAUUAAAUAAGAUAAUACGUGAAAUUCCCUAGCAAAAGGUGAAAUAUGCUAUACAAAGUGGAGACAGAUGAAGCCUAGGAUGAAAAUCCAUCUGCAGGCUGUAAACCCUUCAAGGGCCACGGCUGUGCCCUUUUAAUGGUAUAAACUCACAGGUGGUCUGGUGCACAAUAGAUGCUCAAGAAACCAAGGAAGGAGGAGGGAAAGAGUGGGGACAAUUCAAGGUGGAACCAAGCCCACAGGAGGGCCAAGUCAGAGGCCCCCCGACUUCCCCCCACUCCCCAAAAUGAUAAUAAUUGUGACCCAGUUACCUGC